rnacentral:rRNA from 1 species
ACGCGAAGAACCUUACCGAGGCUUGAACUGUCGGUGACAACCCUGGAAACAGGGCCUUCCUUCGGGACGCCGGUAGAGGUGCUGCAUGGCUGUCGUCAGCUCGUGUCGUGAGAUGUUGGGUUAAGUCCCGCAACGAGCGCAACCCUUGCCCUUAGUUACCAUCGGGUCAUGCCGGGGACUCUAAGGGGACUGCCCCGGAAAACGGGGAGGAAGGUGGGGAUGACGUCAAGUCCUCAUGGCCUUUAUGUCUCGGGCUACACACGUGCUACAAUGGGCGACACAAAGGGUCGCAAUGCCGCGAGGCUGAGCUAAUCCCAAAAAAUCGCCCUCAGUUCGGAUUGGAGUCUGCAACUCGACUCCAUGAAGUUGGAAUCGCUAGUAAUCGCGGAUCAGCACGCCGCGGUGAAUACGUUCCCGGGCCUUGUACACACCGCCCGUC